GCCGGGUGUGGUGGCACACGCCUGUAAUCCCAGCUACUUUGGAGGCUGAGGCAGGAGAAUCACUUGAACCCAGGAGGCAGAGGUUGUAGUGAGCUGAGAUCGAGCCACUGCACUCCAGCCUGGGUGACAGAGUGAGACUCUGACUCAG
ensembl:misc_RNA Metazoa_SRP Metazoan signal recognition particle RNA